rnacentral:lncRNA from 1 species
UCCUACCUACUGGCUGCCCUCGGGGGCAACCCCUUGCCCAGCACCAAGGACGUCAAGAAGAUCCUGUACAAUAUAAGCAAUAAGGCCAAUGGCAACCAGUGCAGCAAGAUCAUCAGUGAGCUGAAUGGAAAAAACAUUAAAGGUGUCAUUGCCCAGGGUAUUGGCAAGUUGCCAUUGUGCUCUCCCACAAGGCUGUGGCCGCCUCUGCUGCCCCGGCUCUGUAGCUCCUGCUGCUGGCCCUGCCCCUACUACAAAGAAGAAGAAACAUGAGAAGAAGGAGUCCCAAGAGUCACAUGGUGACAUA